UGCAGUCGAGCGGACCGACGGGAGCUUGCUCCCUUAGGUCAGCGGCGGACGGGUGAGUAACACGUGGGUAACCUGCCUGUAAGACUGGGAUAACUCCGGGAAACCGGGGCUAAUACCGGAUGCUUGAUUGAACCGCAUGGUUCAAUCAUAAAAGGGGGCUUUUAGCUACCACUUACAGAUGGACCCGCGGCGCAAUAACUAGUUGGUGAGGUAACGGCUCACCAAGGCGACGAAGCGUAACCCAACUGAGAAGGUGAUCGGCCACACUGGGACUGAAACACGGCCCAAACUCCUACGGGAGGCAGCAGUAGGGAAUCUUCCGCAAUGGACGAAAGUCUGACGGAACAACGCCCCGUGAGUGAUGAAGGUUUUCGGAACGUAAAACUCUGUUGUUAGGGAAGAACAAGUACCGUUCGAAUAGGGCGGUACCUUGACGGUACCUAACCAAGAAGCCACGGCUAACUACGUGCCAGCAGCCGCGGUAAUACGUAAGUGGCAAGCGUUGUCCGGAAUUAUUGGGCGUAAAGCGCGCGCAAGCGGUUUCUUAAGUCUGAUGUGAAAGCCCCCGGCUCAACCGGGGAAGGUCAUUGGAAACUGGGGAACUUGAGUGCAGAAGAAGAAAAUGGAAUUCCACGUGUAGCGGUGAAAUGCGUAAAGAUGUGGAAGAACACCAGUGGCGAAAGCGACUCUCUGGUCUGUAACUGACGCUGAAGCGCGAAAGCGUGGGGAACGAACAGGAAUAGAUACCCUGGUAGUCCACGCCGUAAACGAUGAAUGCUAAGUGUUAGAAGGUUUCCGCCCUUUAGUGCUGCACCAACGCAUUAAGCACUCCGCCUGGGGAGUACGGUCGCAAGACUGAAACUCAA
rnacentral:rRNA from 1 species